rnacentral:rRNA from 1 species
GACGAACGCUGGCGGCGUGCUUAACACAUGCAAGUCGAACGGAAAGGCCCUGCUUGCAGGGUACUCGAGUGGCGAACGGGUGAGUAACACGUGGGUGCUCUGCCCUGUACUUUGGGAUAAGCCUGGGAAACUGGGUCUAAUACCGGAUAGGAGCCACUUUUAGUGUGAUGGUUGGAAAGUUUUUUCGGUGUUGGAUGAGUUCGCGGCCUAUUAGCUUGUUGGUGGGGUAAUGGCCUACCAAGGCGACGACGGGUAGCCGGCCUGCGAGGGUGGACGGCCACAUUGGGACUGAGAGACGGCCCAGACGCCGACGGGAGGCAGCAGUGGGGAAGAUUGCACAAGGGGCGCAAGCCUGAUGCAGCGACGCCGCGUGGGGGAUGACGGCCUUCGGGUUGUAAACUCCUUUCGCUAGGGACGAAGCUUUUUGUGACGGUACCUAGAUAAGAAGCACCGGCUAACUACGUG